UACAGAGGGUGCAAGCGUUAAUCGGAAUUACUGGGCGUAAAGCGCGCGUAGGUGGUUCGUUAAGUUGGAUGUGAAAGCCCCGGGCUCAACCUGGGAACUGCAUUCAAAACUGACGAGCUAGAGUAUGGUAGAGGGUGGUGGAAUUUCCUGUGUAGCGGUGAAAUGCGUAGAUAUAGGAAGGAACACCGGUGGCGAAGGCGACCACCUGGACUGAUACUGACACUGAGGUGCGAAAGCGUGGGGAGCAAACAGG
rnacentral:rRNA from 1 species